UAGGGAAUCUUCGGCAAUGGACGGAAGUCUGACCGAGCAACGCCGCGUGAGUGAAGAAGGUUUUCGGAUCGUAAAGCUCUGUUGUAAGAGAAGAACGAGUGUGAGAGUGGAAAGUUCACACUGUGACGGUAUCUUACCAGAAAGGGACGGCUAACUACGUGCCAGCAGCCACGGUAAUACGUAGGUCCCGAGCGUUAUCCGGAUUUAUUGGGCGUAAAGCGAGCGCAGGCGGUUAGAUAAGUCUGAAGUUAAAGGCUGUGGCUUAACCAUAGUACGCUUUGGAAACUGUUUAACUUGAGUGCAAGAGGGGAGAGUGGAAUUCCAUGUGUAGCGGUGAAAUGCGUAGAUAUAUGGAGGAACACCGGUGGCGAAAGCGGCUCUCUGGCUUGUAACUGACGCUGAGGCUCGAAAGCGUGGGGAGCAAACAGGAUUAGAUACCCUGGUAGUCCACGCCGUAAACGAUGAGUGCUAGGUGUUAGACCCUUUCCGGGGUUUAGUGCCGUAGCUAACGCAUUAAGCACUCCGCCUGGGGAGUACGACCGCAAGGUUG
rnacentral:rRNA from 1 species